CAGAUUGACAGCAGGACAAAUCGCUGGAAAUAGGUAUGUCUCAAGCUUCUUCCACUUGGUCCACUCCAAAGCGGGCUGCAAAGGGGAAGAAGUGGAAGCAGUUGAAUGACACAUGUUGCAUUUUGUAACUGGCAACAAAGUACCAGGUAAAAAAGAUUGUGAAGCCUGCCUCCAUAAAGAACUAGUAGCUCUACAGGACAGAGAUUGGCUUGCCAUCAAGUACUACAUCCAUAACAGAAUUAUAUUAAAAAAAGGGGAAAAAAAUGUUUUCCCACAUCUUCUGUGGUAGUUUGAGUAUGUUACCAGCAAUUAAAAAAGCAAAAUAAA